ensembl:lncRNA LINC01091 long intergenic non-protein coding RNA 1091
GGUAGUCAACCUUCUGAGAAGAACUUAUACACAUCUACUGUGAAGUUGGUAGUGGCUCUGUGAUUCUCUUAUUUUGAAAAUUCACUGCCGGUGGUUGGACUGAGUCCCAUGAAGCCAGAUCACUUCUGACUGCAAGGAGCUUGGAAAAGCAAGUAUCUGGAUCUUUUACCAGCUAAAUUUGGAGGUCUGGAGAAGGAAAUGUACUGUUAUGACUAUAAAGACAUCCUGCUGAAUAUCCUGAUGCUUGGGAAAGUAAAACUCAAUAUAGAAAAAGCAUCACUAAUCAAAUCUACAAAAUUAUUGAUCAAAUUUGGAUCUCUGUGUGCUGUCCUCCAAUUUAAUACUUUCUGUGUUGCUGUUUUAUUUUCUUUCUUCUGGAACCUGGCAAAGUGCGUCAAGCGAUGAGGCUUCCUCUUUGAAGAUCACAGGUGAGAAGAUUAGGUGCUUUCUCAGAAGCCCAGCAACCUGAUGGGAGUGUGGAGUGAGCAAGACCCAAAUCGGAGCUUCAUCCCUGCAUGGUUCAUUUUGCUUAUUUGGCAAACUUGCCCUGCAGAAUCUACUCAAGCUUCCUCAGUUUCUCAAAUCAUUCUUGGGCAACAAAUGAACAAGAAAGAGGACGUCUUAUUAUCUGGUGUCUGGCUUGCUGAUUUAAUAACCUAGGAGACAGUGUUUGAAGAACACAAACUCUAAAGUCCUUCACUUAAAAAAAAAAAAAAACUUUCCCAAAUUGCUUACCAUUUGGAAAAAUUGCCUUACCUUCUUCAGUCAUCUCUGAUGUUGUCAUCCUCAGAGUAAGAAGUACGCAUUCAUAAGGAACCAUAACGUCCUUCAGGAAAUCCAGUACACCCUACAAUUUUACCUAAAACUUUGAUGUUGUUUUUUCUGAGCAUUUUACCUUCUAGGGAAAUGGAUCUCAUGCUGUUUAUCAGUUUCUGAAAGUUGUUAUUAAUCUCCCCUCAUCCCAAAAUUGAAGAACUUUGCUUAAAUCUUAGAAUCAGAACUUUGGCUCCAGUAAUAAAGACUUUUCAAUAUCUUUAUCUGCCAUUGAGUCUUACCUAACGAAAUAAAGCCUCCAAAGUGGGAA